ACAGCAGAAACAAUACCAUGAUCAUGAAGCUGUUUUCCCCAGGAUAAGGCUUAUUCAUGCACUCUAGUUGUGCUGACCCCUGUGUUGUUUCUAAAUGUGGGAAAGUCAACUGCAUAAUUUCUGGUAGUGGGGGACUGAUUGUUCUCUCU
rnacentral:snRNA from 1 species